UGCAAGUGCCUGUGUCCAGUCUGUGUGACAAGAAUAGUCUAUGCAAGAGGGCCGAUGCUGCACAGAGACAGCUCUUAGAGAAUACAUUUACUACUACGUCAAAGAUUCCAGGACUGAAUAUUCAUUAAGACGAUGUGUUCAAACCAGUACAUAAUUAUACUGUACAAAAGACGACUGACGUCCUUCUGAAUCACGACAGCAAAACAGGAGGAAGAAACCAAUCAAAGUAUCACUCCUGAAAAUGCCGGCGUUACGAGGUCUGUAGAAUAUCCUCCAGAAAUGUGAACAAAGCCUUAUAGGGAAUUUCAGAGCCAACAGGACGGACUACAUGAGAGGCUUCUCUGAUCCAACAGACAAUGGGGCUUCUGUUGAGUUGGGCAACACAAGAGCUGCUAACUGCAUAUAGUUAUGUGCUGAGGCCGAACAGAAACUGCAAGCUCAGAAAUGGAAUGAAGGAAAGGACAAAGCACAUAAGAAUCAAGGAUGCAACAAUGAAAUAAAUCCGGAUAAUGUACUGCCUUAAGGCCAGGCCCCUAGCUGGUAUAUAUGUCAGG